UAGGUAGAAACUCGUUAAACAAACCAAACCUGAUGAGGAUUGCCUUUGCCAAAACGGCACGCCAAACUGAUCCUGCAGCACAGAUGAGGUUUCUCUACGUAUUUCAGUUUUUAUUUCU